CGGUUCCACGUCCCUGGAGUCGUUCCACCUGCACCUGAACCGCUUCGUACCUGGUACAAGUGUGAGUGCCCUGCACUUCCAGGCGUACCUGCUGGAAGGGUUGGUGAGGUGGAACGAGGAACGCGCGGCAGCGGCAGUGGAGGGAAGCUACUCGGGUCUGCUACAGCGGCCAGCUGCAGCACUACGCCAACCAGCUGAGCCAGCAACUCCUUGGGCUCCAGCUGGCUGAGGAUUACACUAUUCCUGGAGAGUAUACAGGUGAGCACAUCAGGGUGGAGUAUCUGUACUCUCAGACCGGCGUAGUGCUGCAGGAGGACCUCGGCAGGGAUCCAGGGGCCCUGGACUGGCCACAGAGAAGAUUGGCCCCCAACCAUUGUGCACGCAGUUUACUGAUAUUCUAUGCUAGUAUCAUGAGGGACGGACUUUUCAGAGUACCUGGAAGUAGGCUACAUGAGCACUGUACAGGUAUCUGAAGGAGUGCGGGUCUGGUGAGGCGGUGUUACAGUCUGACACAGUAUAAGACAUAUAAAUUACUCAUUGACUACAGCAAGAAUCAGCUGGCUUAGGACCUCUCAAGACAAAGGUUCCUUUACACUCCACAUCAAGCAGCUAUGUAACUAAUUGAGUGAUUCAAGAAUUAUUUGCAAUACCAACUUUAUGAAGCAAUGCUAAACAUUACAUUCACACUUAAACAGAUUACAUUUAUAGUGUUUGGCAGACACUCUUUACCAGCGUUUCAUACA